rfam:Schistosoma mattheei strain Denwood, Zambia genome assembly, scaffold: SMTD_scaffold0009142
GCCCUGAUGAGGAGUCCUAUAAUAGGACGAAACGGCCGUUCCGUGC